rnacentral:rRNA from 1 species
AACGAACGCUGGCGGCAGGCCUAACACAUGCAAGUCGAGUGGGGGAGCAAUCCCUAGCGGCGGACGGGUUAGUAACGCGUGGGAACAUACCCUUUGGUACGGAAUAGCCUCGGGAAACUGAGAGUAAUACCGUAUGUGCCCUUCGGGGGAAAGAUUUAUCGCCAAAGGAUUGGCCCGCGUUGGAUUAGGUAGUUGGUGGGGUAAUGGCCUACCAAGCCUACGAUCCAUAGCUGGUUUGAGAGGAUGAUCAGCAACACUGGGACUGAGACACGGCCCAGACUCCUACGGGAGGCAGCAGUGGGGAAUCUUAGACAAUGGGCGCAAGCCUGAUCUAGCCAUGCCGCGUGAGCGAUGAAGGCCUUAGGGUUGUAAAGCUCUUUACCCGGGAUGAUAAUGACAGUACCGGGAGAAUAAGCUCCGGCUAACUCCGUGCCAGCAGCCGCGGUAAUGUGAC